rnacentral:snRNA from 1 species
GUGGUCGCUUCGGCAACACAUAUAUUAAACUGGACCGAUCGAGAAGAUUAGCAUGGAACCUGCGGAAGGAUGACACUCAGAUUCGUAAAGCGCUCCAUAUUUUA